GUGAGUCAUCGAAUCUUUGAACGCACCUUGCGCUCCUUGGUAUUCCGAGGAGCAUGCCUGUUUGAGUGUCUUGAAAUCAUCAACCCCUUCGGUUUUGCGACUGAUGCGGGUUGGACUUGGGGGUUUGCUGCUGAAAGGCGGCUCCCCUUAAAUGUUUCGGUCGGGCCUGUAGGUCGACUUUGAUUGGGCGUUGUAUUAUCCUCGCUCCUGAAAGUCUCCUCUUUCGUGCCCUUCCACGACCUGCCUAUGGAGUGGCGGUCAAACUUUUCUGACAUCUGACCUCAAAUCAGGUAGGACUAC
rnacentral:misc_RNA from 1 species